rnacentral:tRNA from 1 species
GCCGAGGUAACCCAACUGGUAGAGGUCGCAAUCUUAAACGUUGCAAAGUGCGGGUUCGAAUCCCGUCCUCGGUA